GUGGGGAAUUUUGGACAAUGGGCGAAAGCCUGAUCCAGCCAUGCCGCGUGCAGGAUGAAGGCCUUCGGGUUGUAAACUGCUUUUGUACGGAACGAAAAGACUCCUUCUAAUAAAGGGGGUCCAUGACGGUACCGUAAGAAUAAGCACCGGCUAACUACGUGCCAGCAGCCGCGGUAAUACGUAGGGUGCAAGCGUUAAUCGGAAUUACUGGGCGUAAAGCGUGCGCAGGCGGUUAUAUAAGACAGAUGUGAAAUCCCCGGGCUCAACCUGGGAACUGCAUUUGUGACUGUAUAGCUAGAGUACGGUAGAGGGGGAUGGAAUUCCGCGUGUAGCAGUGAAAUGCGUAGAUAUGCGGAGGAACACCGAUGGCGAAGGCAAUCCCCUGGGCCUGCACUGACGCUCAUGCACGAAAGCGUGGGGAGCAAACAGGAUUAGAAACCCCAGUAGUCC
rnacentral:rRNA from 1 species